CAGGCCUAACACAUGCAAGUCGAACGGUCAGCAAUGACAGUGGCGCACGGGUGCGUAACGCGUAUGCAACCUACCCAUCAAAGGGGGAUAGCCCGGGGAAACCCGGAUUAAUACCGCAUAAGAUAGUAUUCUGGCAUCAGAGAGCUAUUAAACAUUUAUGGUUGAUGGAUGGGCAUGCGUUAGAUUAGCUAGUUGGUGUAGUAACGGUGCACCAAGGCAAUGAUCUAUAGGGGUUCUGAGAGGAAGAUCCCCCACACUGGUACUGAGAUACGGACCAGACUCCUACGGGAGGCAGCAGUAGGGAAUAUUGGGCAAUGCUCGCAAGAGUGACCCAGCCAUGCCGCGUGCAGGAAGAAGGCCUUCUGGGUUGUAAACUGCUUUUGGAAGGGAACAAAUGGGCAUGCGUGCCAACUUGAGUGUACCUUCAGAAUAAGCACCGGCUAACUCCGUGCCAGCAGCCGCGGUAAUACGGAGGGUGCAAGCGUUGUCCGGAUUUAUUGGGUUUAAAGGGUGCGUAGGCGGCUUAUUAAGUCAGGGGUGAAAGACUAUUGCUUAACAAUGGCAGUGCCUUUGAUACUGAUAGGCUUGAGUACAGCUGAGGCAGAUGGAACGGGUGGUGUAGCGGUGAAAUGCAUAGAUACCAUCCAGAACACCGAUUGCGAAGGCAGUCUGCUAAACUGUAACUGACGCUGAGGCACGAAAGCGUGGGGAUCGAACAGGAUUAGAUACCCUGGUAGUCCACGCCGUAAACGAUGAUGACUCGAUGUUAGGGAUAUACUCUUAGCGUCCAAGCGAAAGCGUUAAGUCAUCCACCUGGGGAGUACGCCCGCAAGGGUGAAACUCAAAGGAAUUGACGG
rnacentral:rRNA from 1 species